AAUUUCUCUUAUUAACUCAAAAAAAUUAUUGUUUUAUUUUAUUCUCUCUCUACCUCCUCUCACUCUCUUUCUAGUAUAACUAUAUAACCAUUAGCCCCAUCGUUUUAUCAACAAUAAGUCCAUCAUUAGUACCGUCGUCACUUAUGUUUUUCGGUCAUUAAUCUAUCACCUCUACUACGAUAUGAUGAGUUUCAAUAUUAAGUUUUACUAAAUUUUAUGAACAAGGGGUGAGUUUUGUCAUUAUUGAUGAUAUUGAUUUUGAUUUUGUAAGAAAAUCUUUGAUUUUGUUUCAUUUCAAUUUGGGAUUUGAUUAGGAGUUAAUAUUUGAUUCAAAUUGUCAAUCAAUUAAAAGAUUAUAGAAAUGAGAAUUUAAUUGAGAAUGUAAGAGAGAUUAAAAAUAUUUAUGUUUUAAUGAUUUUUAUUUUUCAAUAAGAAUAAUUUUAAAAUAAAUAAUAUUAAUUAAAAAAUAGUAGCUAAUGAAAUAAAUUGAAGAGAUCAAUAUCACCACUCAAAAAGAUAAUUGAGAGGUGUUUACUCUUAUGUCGCAGGCCCAUUACAUUUUUCCAAUAAGCGGAGCUUAACAGCACAUUACAUUUUAAUAAGCUCAUAAAAGUUAAUGCAUUAACGGCCCGCGUUAAGUUUUAAACGAAAAAGAGCAUGUGAUUCACAUUUACUUAUUUGUUUUAUUUCCUUAAUGCUCUAUUUGCUUUCUAAAUUCGGAAUCGAAAUCUAGAAUGAAUCAUUGAUAAUAUUUACUUUAUAAAUUAAGAUUUAAAAUUGGAAUCGAAUGGUGAGCCCCAUCUAAAUUUGGGAUUAAAAAUGAAAGACUGAUUCCCAGUUUAAGAAGAUCAAAUUUGCCUCUAUUAAAAUUUCAAAAUGCCAAAGAUAUCUUCCAUUCAAUUAAAAAAAUAUAAAUAUAAAAUGGAAACAAUUUGAACCCUUGAAGCCACUAUCACAACUAAGAGGAAGCCUCCAUCGAAUCCUCACAAAACAAGCCUCCAUUGUAGCCAAGAGGUAGCCUCCAUCAAACCCCUGCAACAAGCCUCUAUCACAGCCAACCAAACAUUUUUCACCGUCAUCGCUGGUUACAUCGUUGGAGGUCACUGUAUCACAGCUUCGGAUCAAGAUCUAGUUCCAUUGUCGCCUCUAUUUGGGCAUGUCUUCACCGUCACUGGCAUCUCUUCAUCGUUUGUCUACCCCCAUUUUGUUGUUGUCGCUGUUGUUGCAAUGAUGAUGAUUUUGAUUAUUAUUAUUUGAUUAUUAU
rnacentral:lncRNA from 1 species